AGCAUGUUCAACCCCUCUUACAAAAUAUAACACAGAGCAAACCUCAAAACUAAACGACAAUGAUGUUUCUACCGCACUGACUAAGAAAAAGGAUAAAAGGUUUCUAUCUAAUCCUAAUAGCUCUUGAAGAUACCAGUGAUAGGUUUACGACACUUUGGACAGUCAUCGCCAAUGAGAGGACGAAGGCAUCCUGCGCAAAACCGGUGUCCACACGGCAGAAGGGUUCUCCACCCGGAUGGGAUGCUAUAGCAGAUCUCACAUUGACAUCGAUGCUGCAACUCCCGGAUUUUAGUCUCAAGGUUGCUGAACAGCUCAUCCUUCAUAGUCGUCUCUGCACGCAGGUGCUGCACUUCUUCUUCCAGCGUCUGCACUUCUUCCUCCAGCUUCCUCCUCUUCGCACGCUCCGCCUCGAAAAUGGUAUGAAUUUCCUGAUUCGCCGUUUCCUAUCUCAAUAUCAGCGAGGAAAUAUCCCCAAGAGUCUCACUGGGAAAGGUCUUACCAAAACCGUGUCCAGGUUGGAUAUUUUUUGUUUUUUCGGUGGCCACUCCAUUUCGGACUCCAGAGCAUCAGAGGACACUAAAUCAUCAGAUGGACCAUCAUAGGUUGGAUAGCUGUAGUCUGUGAAGGUUCUCUUUCUUUGUGACCUUCGCGUCCCUUGUGCCAGGGGCUGUUCGUCCGUCUCGUCUGAAAUGAUGAUGACAGUGCGGGAACUAUCGGCUGACGCCAUAGCUAAGAGAUGGAAAGAUGGUCGUGUCGUAGAUCAGCAAAGAGGAGUGACGAAGAGCUCCAGAGAGGGCUUGGCGGAAGGUUUCGGUCGACGGUGUAGGAUGGGAGGUGGAAAGGGAAUUGAAAGAA
rnacentral:sRNA from 1 species